CCAUCACAAGGCUGCGAACAGGGUUCCCGGCACGAGCGUCAGCUACUUCCUGCCUGAGUCAGACGCAGGCCCCGGAGGCGGCUCCGCGGAGGGAAGGGGCACCUUCUCCACACACCUCCUUCACUGAGUCACAGACAAGCUAUGCAGAGAAAUCUCUGGGAUCCGCGGCAAGGCUCUAGGCAGAGGACCGAGAAGGGAGCAGCUUCCAGAGGCCACACAGAGAUAGGAUCUCGCUCUGUCACCGAGGCUGGAGUACAGUGGUCCAACAUAGCUCACGGCAGCCUUGAUCUCCUGGGCUGAAGCGAUCUUCCCCUUCAGCCUUCCGAGUACCUGGGACCACAGCCAUCAUGAGAAUAUGGAUCACAGCAAACUCCACCUCUACCAAAAAUACAAAAAAAAAAACUUAGCCGGGUGUGGUGGCAGACAUCUGUAAUCCCAGCUACUUGGGAGGCUGAGACAAGAGAAUCACUUGAACCCGGGAGGUGAAGGUUGCAGUGAGCUGAGAUUGUGCCACUGCACUCCAGCCUGGGCAACAGAGCAAGACUCCGUCUCAAAAAAAGAAAAGAAAAGCCUGCAAUCUCAGCUCCACAGAAGACAUGUGAACACUUUAGGAAAAUGGAAAGUAUUCUCCUUUCCUUUAUUUUCCUCUGAGAAUCUGUCUAUAAAUCAAGCCCUCAGCCCUAUUGUCCAAAUCUGAAAUAAAGCCUGCCUUCUCCAUCUGACCCUAUUCUCAAGAGACCUGAAAUGAAAUCUUCCCACAUAGCCCUUGGCAGGCACAGAUCCAGGAUAUGGAACAGGUCUGAUGGAAAUGUGUGAAAGCACAGUGUCGGGCCCAGAUCCACCUAUUUCUUUUUCCUUUUUCUUUUUCUUUUUCUUUUUUUCUUUUUUUUUUUUUUUUUGAGACACAGUCUUGUUCUAUUGCCCAGACUGGAGUGCAAUGGCACCAUCUUGGCUCACUGCAACCUCCACCUCCCGGCUUCAAGUGGUUCUCCUGGCUCAGCCUCCCGAGUAGGUGAGACUACAGGUGCCCACCACCACGCCUAGCUAAUUUUUGUAUUUUUAGUAGAGAUGGGAUUCACCACGUUGGUCAGGCUGGUCUCGAACUCUUGACCUCAGGAGAUCCACCCACCCCGGCCUCCCAAAGUUCUGGGAUUACAGGUAUGAGCCACUGCACCCAGGCAGAUCAACCUAUUUCAACACAUUGGCCAGAAUCUAUAAAUCCAAGGCAUCAUUCAGGAUUUAGUUAAGAAACCCCAAUGUCCUAAUGGGGAAGUCAGAAUGAUCACCUUCACUAGACAGCCUGGAGUCAAGGGAGGACAAGGGAGACCAUUACUUGCAAGUCCUAAGGGACAGGAGGGACAUUUAUCAUCUCCGAGCACUGACUUCAUCAGCCAUUCACCAAACCAGACUAGUGACAGCCCCUGUCUGUGAACUCAGGGUGCUUUGCACUUGUUUGUAACAUACAACAUGCACACACAAUGGCAAGCAAGCACGCAUGUACUGCCUCACAUCCGCCUCCCUGCUGGACCGCAGCCACCAUCAGGGAAGGGGCGACUGCCUCUCCCACCCUCUGCUCCACCCUCAGUGCUCAGCACAGAUUCCCACACAUGGUAGAGUCUGGUAAACAUUCACUAAGUAAAUACACGCCUCUCCCUCUUCCACACCCCUCUCUGAUAGCCUAUGACCCUUUUUCAGUACUUCUUCCCAUUUAAGGUUGAACUAGGGUUCAUUUAAAUUUAGCUUUUAAAAUAUAAAUACAUGCCCACAGUGCGGGGGCAGAAAGCACACACAGAUACACACAGGCUCCACCCUCCAGCCACGGGAGAAGGCACUGUGGCUAUUUGGGGCCACAGUAUUCUGUUACCUUUAUUGAACAUUCAGUUUUUAUCAAAGAUUUUCUGUAUACUGCCUCAUUUAUUCUACACGAUAACCUUAGCUAGAGACUCAUAGGCUUGGGGCUUGAACACCUUGUCCAAGGUCACACACCUAGAGGAUAUGAACCAGGACUGGCUCUAAAAGAGGUCUGAGUCCAACACUGGGCUUAAUCAGCUUCCUGUGCUACCUGCCCGGAAGUGGCUUCAUUACUCUUAAAGAAUUUGGCUUCCCACCCCUUCUGCAAGCACGGCUACCAAGCUGUUCCUCCUGCAAUAUAUAAUAAGACACAUCUGAAGUUUGACUUCCUGCCUCUUGGUUCCCACACCCCCAGGAGGCAGCUGUCAGAGUCCUUCAGUGGCUGAAGGAGCAGAGCCUGGGCCUCCCAGGUGUCACACAGGCACCAGGAAAUAUUAAAUUAAAAGGGGAAGUUCUUCUUUGGUUCUAGUCCUUACCUUAUCAGAGGUGUUGGAACAAGGCUGACAUUUACAAUGCACAGGAGCUUGGCUACUUCAGCAAUCGCAUGGCCACUGGUAUUUCCGGAAGGAUCCUUUUCAAUGCUAAACACAUUUUCUCUUGGCACUUGAAACUAGGUUCCAGACGGGGAAGUGGCUGAAUACUAAUUACUU